AUCAUAUUAAAUUUAAAACGAGGGUCUUUUGUUAUACCAGACCUGCUUUUGUUUUAAAUGACUGACUUUGUUCCAGGACAUGAUUUUAUACAUAGCAUUGGCAUAACUUCAUUGAAAAACGGUGUUUAACUGCAAAUAGGAUAUUAGAAACGAAAAUGUCUGACGAAGAGAUAAUUAAAACAGCGGCGACAGUAGGGACAGCUCCGUUGUGGGUGCCGGCAGCCGCCGCAGGUGGCCUUAUUUAUGGUGCAGGAAAAGGCUUGGAAAUUGCAAAUGACAUCGGGAAAGAGGUUGGCCCUAUAGCUGGUAUAGCAUUAGCCCCUUUCAUUGUUGCCGGCUGCAUUAUUGCUGGUCCAUUCAUUGGAAUCAAGAAAGUGGGCGAUGUGAUGAUAGGGAAAGAAGACAAAAAGUGAACAAUGUAUUGUGUAGCAUUGUGGAAUGACUUGUAUGAAGAUCAGUCAAUCAAUUACUAUAAAAUAUUGUUUUCAUGAUCUCUUCCUGAUCCUUUUCAAUUAAUUUUCACAUUAAUUUAUUUUUAAUUUAUCACAGUUUAAUCAGUACACGUGUCGUCUGCUAGCGCUUCAAUUAAAAAAGUCUAUAUACUUAUACACAGAUUAAAUGGCACAGUGGAAUUUGCAUUUGACAUUAAAUAAAUUUCGCCGUUAUGAAUAACAUUAUGAUAACCAGACACGGAGAAUAUAUUAACAUUUAAAUGAAGACCAAAGGAAUGUUUUUAUAGUGUUGUUCCUAUCCAAUUGGAAAUAUUAUAUAAACAUGUCCUAAUCACAGCUUUAGUUAAUCUUUGAUAUUGUUUAAUAUGAAUAUGACGGUCUAGAUCUUAUAAACAUAUGUUGCAAACAUU